rnacentral:rRNA from 1 species
CCUGGCUCAGAGCGAACGUUAGCGGCGGCUUAACACAUGCAAGUCGAGCGAGAAAGGGGCUUCGGCCCUGAGUACAGCGGCGGACGGGUGAAUAACACGUAGGUAACCUUCCUUCAGCGGGGGACAACGGUCCGAAAGGACCGCUAAUACCGCAUACGUUCCCCUGGGGACCUCGGGUCCUGGGGGAGGAAAGGCCCGCAAGGGCCACUGGAUGAGGGGCCUGCGUAGCAUCAGCUAGUUGGUGGGGUAAUGGCCUACCAAGGCGAAGACGCUUAGCUGGGUCUGAGAGGAUGAUCAGCCACACUGGGACUGAGACACGGCCCAGACUCCUACGGGAGGCAGCAGUGGGGAAUAUUGGACAAUGGGCGCAAGCCUGAUCCAGCCACGCCGCGUGAGUGAUGAAGGCCUUCGGGUCGUAAAGCUCUGUGGGGAGGGACGAACGGCGCCAUGAAGAGUGGCGAUUGACGGUACCUCCUUAGCAAGCACCGGCUAACUUCGUGCCAGCAGCCGC